rnacentral:rRNA from 1 species
UCCGUACGGACCUGAGACAGGUGCUGCAUGGCUGUCGUCAGCUCGUGUUGUGAAAUGUUGGGUUAAGUCCCGCAACGAGCGCAACCCUUAUCCUUUGUUGCCAGCGGCUCGGCCGGGAACUCAAAGGAGACUGCCGGUGAUAAACCGGAGGAAGGUGGGGAUGACGUCAAGUCAUCAUGGCCCUUACGGCCAGGGCUACACACGUGCUACAAUGGCGCAUACAAAGAGAAGCGACCUCGCGAGAGCAAGCGGACCUCAUAAAGUGCGUCGUAGUCCGGAUUGGAGUCUGCAACUCGACUCCAUGAAGUCGGAAUCGCUAGUAAUCGUAGAUCAGAAUGCUACGGUGAAUACGUUCCCGGGCCUUGUACACACCGCCCGUCACACCAUGGGAGUGGGUUGCAAAAGAAGUAGGUAGCUUAACCUUCGGGAGGGCGCUUACCACUUUGUGAUUCAUGACUGGGGUGAAGUCGUAACAAGGUAAGCGUAGCGAG